UACGGGGGGGGCAAGCGUUGUUCGGAAUUACUGGGCGUAAAGGGCUCGUAGGCGGCCAACUAAGUCACACGUGAAAUCCCUCGGCUCAACCGGGGAACUGCGUGUGAGACUGGAUGGCUUGAGUUUGGGAGAGGAAUGCGGAAUUCCAGGUGUAGCGGUGAAAUGCGUAGAUAUCUGGAGGAACACCGGUGGCGAAGGCGGGUCUCUGGGCCACUACUGACGCUGAGGAGCGAAAGCGUGGGGAGCGAACAGG
rnacentral:rRNA from 1 species